GGUUUGACGGUACCUAUAAAGGAAGCACCGGCUAACUCCGUGCCAGCAGCCGCGGUAAUACGGGGGGUGCAAGCGUUGUUCGGUAUUAUUGGGCGUAAAGCGCGUGUAGGCGGUCUGAUUAGUCUGAUGUGAAAGCCCUGGGCUCAACCCAGGAAGUGCAUUGGAUACUGUCAGACUUGAAUACGGGAGAGGGUAGUGGAAUUCCUAGUGUAGGAGUGAAAUCCGUAGAUAUUAGGAGGAACACCGGUGGCGAAGGCGGCUACCUGGACCGAUAUUGACGCUGAGACGCGAAAACGUGGGUAGCAAACAGGAUUAGAUACCCUGGUAGUCCACGCCGUAAACGAUGAGAACUAGGUGUCGCGGGUA
rnacentral:rRNA from 1 species